UUGAAUUUUUUAUUGUGAUUAAAAAAGUUUUUGGCUAA
rnacentral:tRNA from 2 species